rnacentral:rRNA from 1 species
UACGUAGGGACCAAGCGUUGUUCGGAUUUACUGGGCGUAAAGGGCGCGUAGGCGGCAAUUCAAGUCAUCUGUGAAAUCUCCGGGCUUAACUCGGAACGGUCAGAUGAUACUGCUUUGCUAGAGUGCAGAAGGGGCAAUCGGAAUUCUCGGUGUAGCGGUGAAAUGCGUAGAUAUCGAGAGGAACACCAGAGGUGAAGACGGGUUGCUGGGCUGACACGUGACGCUGAGGCGCGAAAGCCAGGGGAGCAAACGGG